rnacentral:lncRNA from 1 species
AGGAUGAACCGCUCUGAUACCAUUAAAUGUAACACCCCAGAAAAUAACAUCUAACUAUUACAAUACAAGUUCUACGUAUUUCUAUACAAACUUGGAGUUUUUCAAAACAUUCCUAAUACAUGAUUAGGAUUUAUAGAAAUACAAAUAUUUACAUAUCCAUAGCUCAAAAUAAAACUCUGAAACCUCUAAGGCUUUCCUGCACCUGUAUGGUCAUCUGCUCGUGCACAUAGUACAGUCAUCGCAGUUUAAACACAACACAAAAAGCAAGGGUAAGCUAGUGAAAAUAAAAUUUUAUAAUAUACGAAAUUAAAUUAAAAGAGAAAAUCAAAUUACAUGGCCAAUUUCUCAAUUAUUCAAUCGUCUUCAAAUUACAACAUAAAUCAAUCACAUAGAUCUCACAUGGAUCUACACAUCCAGAAUAUUCAACAAACAACGUCUUCCGGAAGACCCGUAUUAAGUAAGUCCUACCAGAGAUUAACACCUGAUCCAAAGAUUACCAGCGAAUCCAACAAAAAGGAUCAGGGUAAGUUCAAUACAACCCAAGCUGUGCAUCUCAUAUGUCACGGUGUGCAUGAACUCCCCCAUCAGCUUCUCACCACCUGAUAUCUUAGUCUGUGUGACUUAGAUCAUCAGUGAAGCUCAGAGAUCUCUGUUACCACAUAGGCAUCAAUACUUAAUACACAACAAACAUCUGUCCAUACAUUAUCCCAAAUGUAUGAAUUCAAUUUCAUACCAUUCUGUCAUACAAUAUCAUUCAAAAAAUUGAUCCACAAUAUUCAAAAGUCUAUUUGACAUGAAAAAAUAACACUUUAAUACUAAAUCAUCAAAAUAUAAUAUUUUUACAAAUUUAAAUAAUAUACAAACAAACAACCCAAUAUAUAAACACACAACAUUCCUGCAAGAGAAAAUUGAAUAUUGGGACCACGUCCCUUUCGCAUUCAGAUCUUUUAUCCUAGGGUGCUAUUAAAAAUUAAAUUUAGCUUCCCUUACCUCAAUUGCUUGCUUUCCAAGCAACUUCUAGAAUUUUAUUCCCCACCGUUUGGAUAAGCUUCAAGAUUUACG